rnacentral:lncRNA from 1 species
AAGUUAAAAGGGUCCUCUAUUUCAGCCAAUCAGAUACAAGGGAGAAAGAUAAGUCACACCUACAGGCAUGACGUAAUAUGUAAAAUAGACCCUCUUAUACUUGUGCGUUGUUUCAACAAUAAAAGAAUAUUCUUUUUGACAGAAAUUUUUCGAAAUGAGCUUGUUUAUUGUCUAGGUUAUGUUGUCGGUAUGUCGGUUCAUAAAGACGCCUGAUGUCGGGACGGUGAAGGCACGUCUACAAGAUAAUGUGGUGUAAACAGAUGGUAAACGUAAUUUCCGGACACAGAUGCGACUUGCAAGGGUCAAAAUCUUUAUAUUAUGAUCUCUAUGUGCAUGCGAAUAUCUUCAGCCGACUUGUAAAAUGUCCAAACAGCUCCAACUGCUACCUAAGAUGAUAACACGGACGAUAAAGGAAUGAAGGGUAUGUCUGCUUCACUACGAUUGACAAAACUUGCACAUCUACUUUCAAGCUGGUGAAAGCACGACUUCAAGAUGUAAACUAAAAAAGAAGAUGGUAAUUUCCGGCCACAAGUGUCAAAAUCUUAAAAUUAGGGUCGAAGAGAAAUAUACGUCUCCUUGCGGUAAACAGAAUACAGCACGGCAUUUUGCUUCAUAUACGUGUUAUUCAAAAGACAACAACAGUUUAAAGCCAAAGGAACCCAAUCUAACAAAUUGUGUCCGUCUUUGGACAUUGGAAAUUCUCCCCUUUGAUGAUGAAAUACCAUCUAUCAUUUAAUGGAUAUUUAACUAGAACAGAACGGAACAGAACAGAACAGAACGGACCAGAACAGAACUCUCAGUCAGCAUUUACAUCUCUGUAAACGGCAUCGAUAUUGCCAUUUAAUUUAUCAUAUAUUUAUCGAUUUAUAACUGGUAUUCUGCGGACUCCGUAAUUGAUACAUUGCCAUUUUCUUGACAAAAUAUUGAUAAAUCAGUUGAUAGACCGAUACCGAAGUUGGAUUUUGCUGUUAUCCGAAUUCAGAAAGCACGCAGCAUAAUACAAUAAGUACAAUGAUUAUCAAGAUUUAUAAAAAAUGUUUCACCUAGAGUUAUUUUGACAUAGGAAAUUCUACACGUCUGACAAACCGGAAGUAAAGGCAUGACGUCAUUUAACCGGAAAUAUAACACAAAACCUGGACUCGGCAUAUGGAUUCUCCUUUUCGUUUGCCUAAUUUUCUUAAAAUAUCUAUGGGUUUGAAAACUUAAGAUUUUCUCAAUUCGAGCAAACAA